GUUUUUAACUGAGACAGGGGAGAUUUAGGUUAGAUAUUAGGAUAAUGUUUUUUACUCAGAGGGUGGUGACGCACUGGAACAGGUUGCCCACAGAGGUUGUGGAUGCCCCAUCCCUGGAGGCAUUCAAGGCCAGGCUGGAUGUGGCUCUGGGCAGCCUGGUCUAGUGGCUGGCAACCCUGCACAUAGCAGAGGGGUUGAAUCUAGAUGAUCUUUGAUGUCCUUUUCAACCCAGGCCAUUUUAUGAUUCUAUGAUUCUGUGAUUCUAUGAUGAAAUAUUUUAUAAAUAAUAUCAGUACAGUGGACAAUGUUCUGCUUUCACUCUGAUUUAAAGUUCAUAGCAGUAGUGUAUUGUUGCCAUAAAUCAACAGAAUGGAACAAAUGUCAUAAUUUUCCUUAUACAGGUGACUUCUCUUCAUCUUUUACUAAUAUCAUUGAGGUAUCUUAACUGAAAGAAUAGAAAAGUAAUAUUUUCAGAGCCAGGUUUUAAUUCAGCAGCUCCCUCAAAGGAAUGCAAUUUCAAGUCUCAUCAACACUCGCACUUCUAAGAAUGGAGGCAAGAAAUCUGUCGAAAACUGAAGACAGACAGAUACUGUUAGCAGAACAUAUCUUUUAGGAAAUUUGAGUUGGCUGGUAAAGGGAAAACGUGAAUCAUCUCAGUCAUCAGCCCCCUGUUAAAACUGAGACAAGACUCUUAAAUGGGGCUCAUUAAAGUACAAAUAACAAUUUUCAUGGGAGUUAUAUUUAUCGUGAUGUACAACAGUUAACUGAUACACUGAAACCUGUAAGAAAUAUGUCAAAUACAGCACUAAUGUUGUUGUUUUUUUUUUUUUUUCCUUAAAUCUUGUAAUGUGCAAAACAUUUAUUCCUUCAAGUACACUGUAUUUAUGGGCUUUACUGUUACCAAGAUAUUUGCUAUUAACCAGUUGAAAUUCCAACUCUGCUUGCUUCAAUCUGAUAGAAACAUACUUGUAAAUAGUCAUUCUUGAUUCAAAGGAAAUGCAGAUGAGAGAUUUUGAAAGGAGGGUUUGGCCAAUAGGCCUAAAAGGAUGAGUUUUACUAUUUCUUUUUUUUUUUAAAAUAGAACUAGCAGUUAGGGAUAAUAUUUUUCAAAGUUUGCUGGUGGAUAUAUCUCAGGCUCUGUUUUGUCAGCUUGUAUUAAAUAUACCCUUUCUCUUUUGAAUAUCCUUUAUAUGAAAAAGGUCUAAUAUUUUAGUCUGGUCUGCGUCACUUUUAAGAGAGAGAGGGGUUUGCUAUAUAUAACUAUCCAGCAUUUCUCUUUCCCCUGUAAUUAAUACAGUUAGAGACCCUUAACUUAUUCUGUAACGUACUGACAUGGGCUAACACAUAAGCCUCUACAGUUCAGAGUAGCCAAUUAUACCUGCUGACUGUCAGCUGGUAGCCAUGGUAUCUGCCAGCUUUGCUGGUUGUUCUCACAGCAAUCUCAGAGCUUAAAUAAGCUCAGAUACUGCCUCAGCUAGUUCAAAAUUCAUACAGUACUGACUUUUGCAGGGGGAUCACACUACCACUCAUUAGGGACUGAAGAACAAGGCUGUGGAGCCCAGAGGGCUUUGUGCUAUGCCAAGUAGCUUUCACAGAAACAGGAGGGAUGCAUCUUUCUUAAGCUCACACAGAUAACUCAGGUAAAAUUCACAAAAUUCCAGAGCUCCUAUUUAUUCAGUUACUGUUCAUCUAAAUCUGGUACUAAGUUGUGUCUGAUUAUCCUGUGAAAACUGUCUGCCAACACUUUAUGCUGAAGUUAAGAUACCACUUCUGCCUUUUUGCUAUGGGUCCCAUUUCUUCUGAGAUUUUGGAUUUAUAAUAUUAGUCACUGGAUUUACACAAGUAAGCAUAAUUGUCCAAGCAUUCUCUGACAUGUGAAUGUUAUUUUUUAAUGUGUUUGUAAUUAAUAAAUAUAUAUCAUAGAAUCAUAGAAUUUUUUGAGUUGGAAGGGACCUUUAAAUAUCAUCUAGUCCAACUCCCCUGGAAUGAGCAGGGACAUUUGCAGCUAGAUCAGGUUACUCACAUCUCAGUCCGGCCUGACUUUGAAUGUCUCCAGAGAUGGGGCAUCCGCCACUUCCCUAGGCAACCUGUUCUAGUGCUUCACAGCCCUUAAGUCACCUUGAAGAGGAAGGUACCUCCAUCCUCAUUCUCAAAUAAAUUAUUAGAAUUAUUUAUUUUCUUAAAAAUUGCCACCUCUCUAAUCAGAUGUCUCUAUUAGAGUUUUAGAUUAUAUUCAGAUAGGACAAGAAAUUUUUUUCCUGUUUUUUCCUGUUUUUUACUUUUUUUUUAACUACAUAUUUUAGUGCUUUAUAUAUUGGCAUUCUGUUAGUAUAUCUAUGUAAUGUACAAUGCAUUUUCUUUAUUACAACACAUAUUAAUUGAACUUUCUAUAUGCCUGUUGGGUUUGUGGAUAGCUUGCAUUGCAUCUAAUCAUGCCUGUCACAGUAAUGUUACACGGAUGUCCAGUGUUUCCAUAUUCAAAGUGUGAAAAUAAAACUUAUAUGUAAUUUUGUGUAAUCAGCUCUUUCUCCAAAUCAAAGCUGGUGAAGCAGGCAAUUCUUGUUUACCACAAACUAUCACUCAUUUUCUUUCUAUUUCAUCCUUUGAUUUUGCAGUCCUCACAAUACUUUCAGAAAGAAUACUACAUAUAUUCUAUGAUGAGAAAUAUCUCACCUUAGAGACAGUUUAGUUCCUCCCCACCAGAACCACAAUAAAGCACUACUAAGUCUUGUUUCUCUAUGGUACUAAGUACAUGCUAACACCAAGGCCAGUACCAUAACCCAC
rnacentral:lncRNA from 1 species